rnacentral:rRNA from 1 species
UACGUAGGGUGCAAGCGUUGUCCGGAAUUAUUGGGCGUAAAGAGCGUGUAGGCGGCUCGGUAAGUCUGCUGUGAAAGUCCAAGGCUCAACCUUGGAAUGCCGGUGGAUACUGUCGAGCUCGAGUCCGGAAGAGGCGAGUGGAAUUCCUGGUGUAGCGGUGAAAUGCGCAGAUAUCAGGAGGAACACCAAUGGCGAAGGCAGCUCGCUGGGACGGUACUGACGCUGAGACGCGAAAGCGUGGGGAGCGAACAGG